rnacentral:tRNA from 1 species
CGGGGAGUGGCGCAGCGGUAGCGCACCUGCUUUGGGAGCAGGAGGUCGGGGGUUCAAAUCCCCCCUCCCCGA